UGGGGAAUUUUGGGCAAUGGGCGAAAGCCUGACCCAGCAACGCCGCGUGAAGGAUGAAGUAUUUCGGUAUGUAAACUUCGAAAGAAUAGGAAGAAUAAAUGACGGUACUAUUUAUAAGGUCCGGCUAACUACGUGCCAGCAGCCGCGGUAAUACGUAGGGACCAAGCGUUGUUCGGAUUUACUGGGCGUAAAGGGCGCGUAGGUGGCCCUGUAAGUCAGUGGUGAAAUAUCUCAGCUUAACUGAGAGGGUGCCAUUGAUACUGCAGGGCUUGAGUACAGAUGAGGUAGGCGGAAUUGACGGUGUAGCGGUGAAAUGCAUAGAUAUCGUCAAGAACACCGAUAGCGAAGGCAGCUUACCAAGCUGUAACUGACACUGAGGCACGAAAGUGUGGGGAUCAAACAGGAUUAGAUACCCACGUAGUCCCUGAGCGGGCUGGCAAGGCGCAU
rnacentral:rRNA from 1 species